AUUUCUUUAGUAUAACCAGUACAUUUACCUUCCAAGUAAAAAGUUUAAGCAUUCUAAAAGAAAUA
rnacentral:tRNA from 1 species